UGGGGAAUAUUGGACAAUGGGCGAAAGCCUGAUCCAGCAAUGCCGCGUGAGUGAUGAAGGCCUUAGGGUUGUAAAGCUCUUUUACCAGGGAUGAUAAUGACAGUACCUGGAGAAUAAGCUCCGGCUAACUCCGUGCCAGCAGCCGCGGUAAUACGGAGGGAGCUAGCGUUGUUCGGAAUUACUGGGCGUAAAGCGUACGUAGGCGGUGACUCAAGUCAGAGGUGAAAUCCCGGAGCUCAACUUCGGAACUGCCUUUGAUACUGGCAAUCUAGAGUCCGGAAGAGGUUAGUGGAAUUCCCAGUGUAGAGGUGAAAUUCGUAGAUAUUGGGAAGAACACCAGUGGCGAAGGCGGCUAACUGGUCCGGUACUGACACUGAGGCACGAAAGUGUGGGGAUCAAACAGGAUUAGAUACCCCGGUAGUCCCUGAGCGGGCUGGCAAGGCGCAU
rnacentral:rRNA from 1 species